rnacentral:lncRNA from 1 species
ACGUUGUCUCAAAGUUAAUCCUGGCCACUGGAAGACGUCAUUCUGAAUAGAAAGAAGCCUUCUUCUCGUUCGUACAUACGACAGGGGAAGAAUAUGCUUCGAGGGCUCCGAAGAAGAAGAGAGAAUAGAGGGCGCUAUGAGAUGCAACUAGGGUUUAGAGGUCUGCAAUUUCGAGGAUCAAAGAAGCAUGAAGAUAGAUAUUGGCUCAGUAUCCGAAGAUGGCAUCAAAAUCCUGCAGGUGUUGGAGCUACUUUGACUAUUUCCUAGCUGUACGGUCUUUUACUAGGUAUACUUGGGAUUCCUUAUUAUCUUAUCAUUGUCUCCCCUUUUAGGAACCUUGUACUCAAGGUUCAUAUUGUAGAAUCUUCAUGCAGCUCUACCAAUCCCUUUAUUUUUUGGGUUAUCCCUUUAUCCAGGCUUCACAGGCCUAAUAUCUUCUUCUUCUUUGUUGUCGCUUUCUAGAAGCAAAAGUUAAGUUCAGCGGCAUCUGUGUCCAUUUGUAAACUUCUCAUUGCAGUUGAAGCAAAGUCGGUGCGCUUGUUGUCUCUGUAUUUUGUCCUACGAGUGUUGCUUAUUGGCGACAAAAGGAGUCGAGACGUUUUAUGACGUUGGAGCUGCUAAUGCUUGAGAUGGUUGGGUGGUUGCAACUUGCCUGAACUGGUUAGAUCGGCGUCAUUGAUUCAAUUGAUUUUAUCCCAUGCGGGUCAGGCUAAUCACUUCUUUUAAGGAUUUAGGUUGGAACAUCUUGAUCUCAUUUGCUAUUUUGAGCUUAUGCCCACUGCUAAAAGUCCCCACCAAAGCCUUUUACAUUUAUCCUCCUAGUCACUAUAACUCUUUUUAGUAUUCACGUAAUGGACUAGUCUGAUUUACUUUGGACAAGGCUUCAUCAAAGUCUUCACUCUCAGUUGGCCCAAACUUGCCCCAAACUUGGCCCAAAACUCCUCUUCAAAUACAAUCCAAAUAAUUUCUUUAUCUUUUUCCGUGCAG